CUCUAAGUCUCUUCAGUAAUGAGGAAAACGUGAAGGAGGGAAGUUGUUUCUGUCAAGGUCCUUCACCAAGGUUCCCUCCUCCAGGGCUUCCUUCAGCUGACUCCAGGGGAACUCUGCAGGAACUGAAGGAUCUGCGAUACCCUUACCUUAGUAUGCGGGCCGCCCAUGGAGAGCUCAAUUGAUCGCUGGUCAUUGGAGAGGGUGGAGACACUGCAGGGGUCAGUGUCUUUGGGGCACUGGCACAAGGGCUGCGUGAAGUUAAGGCGCCUGUAUACCGCAUUGCACACCUGAGGAUAUAGACAGGUUGAAGGCGUUCUGGUUCUGGUAGAAGUGGUAGUGGUGAAAGCCUCCGCUCACCUGAGAAAGGGUCGCGGCCAUUAAUUAAGAGUAUCCUUCAUGAGCAGUGAGAUCGUAUUGAGUGCAAGGAAUGGGCGGACACAUCCUGCGGGUCCUUGGCUCAUUACGUGUGGUUCCUCGGGCAUCAUUACUCCUGUACUUCCUGCCGCCACGCCGCUGCUCGCACAGUGACCGUCUACUCCACCUGUCCACCCGUCUGUCCACCUGUGUACCUCACUUGUCUGCCAAUCACCUGGUCACGCAGCCUCCCUCCCAUAAGCACAACGGGAGGGAUGGGAACAGGUAAGAGCACAACACAAACGGUUCAUUGAUUGAUAGAAAUUGUCUCAGGUAUAGCGGAGGUAAAGCAUCUCACGUAAGUAACAGGUAAUCACUGUUUUUUUGUUGUUGUCUCUCAUUGUUAGUAUUGUUUUGGUGAUUACUGUAGUGUAGAGUGUUACCUUUCUGUUGUUGUUGUUGUUUGAUUACUUCACUUUU